UCCCUGGUGGUCCAGUGGUUAGGACUCUGCACUUACACUGCUGAGGGACCAGGUGCGAUCCCUGGUCAGGGAA